UACGAAGGGGGGCUAGCGUUGCUCGGAAUCACUGGGCGUAAAGGGUGCGUAGGCGGGUCUUUUAAGUCAGGGGUGAAAUCCUGGAGCUCAACUCCAGAACUGCCUUUGAUACUGAGGAUCUUGAGUUCGGGAGAGGUGAGUGGAACUGCGAGUGUAGAGGUGAAAUUCGUAGAUAUUCGCAAGAACACCAGUGGCGAAGGCGCCGCCUGGGCCAGUCCGUGACGCUGAGGCGCGAAAGCGUGGGGAGCG
rnacentral:rRNA from 1 species